rnacentral:rRNA from 1 species
GAUGAACGCUGGCGGCGUGCUUAACACAUGCAGGUCGAACGAUGAAGCCCAGCUUGCUGGGUGGAUUAGUGGCGAACGGGUGAGUAACACGUGAGUAACCUGCCCUUAACUCUGGGAUAAGCCUGGGAAACUGGGUCUAAUACCGGAUAGGAGCGUCCACCGCAUGGUGGGUGUUGGAAAGAUUUAUCGGUUUUGGAUGGACUCGCGGCCUAUCAGCUUGUUGGUGAGGUAAUGGCUCACCAAGGCGACGACGGGUAGCCGGCCUGGGAGGGUGACCGGCCACACUGGGACUGAGACACGGCCCAGACUCCUACGGGAGGCAGCAGUGGGGAAUAUUGCACAAUGGGCGCAAGCCUGAUGCAGCGACGCCGCGUGAGGGAUGACGGCCUUCGGGUUGUAAACCUCUUUCAGUAGGGAAGAAGCGAAAGUGACGGUACCUGCAGAAGAAGCACCGGCUAACUACGUG